ACGGAGGGUGCUAGCGUUGUUCGGAAUCACUGGGCGUAAAGGGCGUGUAGGCGGUCUGUUAAGUCUGAUGUGAAAUCCCCUCGCUCAACGAGGGAACUGCGUCGGAUACUGGCAGACUCGAGUACCGGAGAGGAAGGUGGAAUUCCCGGUGUAGCGGUGAAAUGCGUAGAGAUCGGGAAGAACAUCAGUGGCGAAGGCGGCCUGCUGGGCUGUUGCUGACGCUGAGGCGCGACAGCGUGGGGAGCAAACAGGA
rnacentral:rRNA from 1 species